rnacentral:snoRNA from 1 species
UCAAAGGAUGAAUUGGCACUGGGCUCCGACAGCUCGACAAGAUCGAGGCUGGUUAUGACGGAUAAGCCACUUUGCGGCAGGCCUAGAAAACCUCGCCCACUGACU